AACACAGGUGCUGCAUGGCUGUCGUCAGCUCGUGUCGUGAGAUGUUGGGUUAAGUCCCGCAACGAGCGCAACCCUCGCCUUUAGUUACCAUCAUUUAGUUGGGUACUCUAAAGGAACCGCCGGUGAUAAGCCGGAGGAAGGUGGGGAUGACGUCAAGUCCUCAUGGCCCUUACGCGCUGGGCUACACACGUGCUACAAUGGCGGUGACAGUGGGCAGCAAUCCCGCGAGGGUGAGCUAAUCUCCAAAAACCGUCUCAGUUCGGAUUGUUCUCUGCAACUCGAGAGCAUGAAGGCGGAAUCGCUAGUAAUCGCGGAUCAGCAUGCCGCGGUGAAUACGUUCCCAGGCCUUGUACACACCGCCCGUCACACCAUGGGAGUUGGGUUCACCCGAAGGCGUUGCGCUAACUCGCAAGAGAGGCAGGCGACCACGGUGGGCUUAGCGACUGGGGUGAAGUCGUAACAAAGGUAGCCGUAG
rnacentral:rRNA from 1 species